rnacentral:rRNA from 1 species
CGGCACCUCAAGUGGUCAGGAUGAUUAUUGGGCCUAAAGCAUCCGUAGCCGGCGCUGUAAGUUUUCGGUUAAAUCUGUACGCUCAACGUACAGGCUGCCGGGAAUACUGCAGCGCUAGGGAGUGGGAGAGGUAGACGGUACUCGGUAGGAAGGGGUAAAAUCCUUUGAUCUAUUGAUGACCACCUGUGGCGAAGGCGGUCUACCAGAACACGUCCGACGGUGAGGGAUGAAAGCUGGGGGAACAAACCGGAUUAGAUACCCGAGUAGUCC